UUCACUGCUCCAGGAAAUAGGACGCCCUUAGAUACAACUUGCCACCCUUAGCAACGGGAGACAUUUAUAGUCCGCUCAGCUUGUAGAACCCUUCAGAUCAGCUCCGAGCCAUAAAACUAACGCUAUGCUAGCAAGAUCCAAAGUCAAUAACAUUGUGUACAGUUGGCAAUUAGUCAAAA